rfam:Bacillus vireti LMG 21834 contig92, whole genome shotgun sequence.
UGGUGAUGUCUCCCUACCGUUAUCGAUGGAGGCACUCGGUCAUGCUGUGGGUCUAGGACCUUAGACGCAAGUCGUCAGUAGGAUGAUGUGAGGACGGGUUAGAUGCCCA